CCUACGGGAGGCAGCAGCUAAGAAUCUUCCGCAAUGGACGAAAGUCUGACGGAGCGACGCCGUGUGAAUGAAGAAGGCCGAAAGGUUGUAAAAUUCUUUUGCAGAUGAAGAAUAAGGAUAAGAGGGAAUGCUUGUCCGAUGACGGUAGUUAUGCGAAUAAGCCCCGGCUAAUUACGUGCCAGCAGCCGCGGUAACACGUAAGGGGCGAGCGUUGUUCGGAAUUAUUGGGCGUAAAGGGCAUGUAGGCGGUUAGGUAAGCCUGAUGUGAAAUCUACGAGCUUAACUCGUAAACUGCAUGGGGUACUGCUUGACUUGAAUCACGGAGGGGAAACCGGAAGUCCAAGUGUAGGGGUGGAAUCUGUAGAUAUUUGGAAGAACACCGGUGGCGAAGGCGGGUUUCUGGCCGAUGAUUGACGCUGAGAUGCGAAGGUGCGGGGAGCAAACAGGAUUAGAUACCCCGGUAGUC
rnacentral:rRNA from 1 species